AUUGAACGCUGGCGGCAGGCCUAACACAUGCAAGUCGAGCGAGUGGCGGACGGGUGAGUAAUGUAUGGGGACUGCCCGAUAGAGGGGGAUAACUACUGGAAACGGUAGCUAAUACCGCAUACUAUCGGAUAACCCAUAUGGGAUUAGCUAGUAGGUGAGGUAAUGGCUCACCUAGGCGACGAUCCCUAGCUGGUCUGGGAGGAUGAUCAGCGCCACUGGGACGGAUAGACGGCCCAGACUCCUACGGGGGCAGCAGUGGGGACGCUUGCACAAUUGGCGCAAGCCUGAUGCAGCCAGGCCGCGUGUAUGACGAAGGCCCUGGGGUUGUAAAGUACUUUCAGUCGGGAGGCGUUACCGACAGAAGAAGCACCGGCUAACUCCGUGCCAGCAGCCGCGGUAAUUC
rnacentral:rRNA from 1 species